rnacentral:rRNA from 1 species
UAAGCGGAGGAAAAGAAACUAACAAGGAUUCCCCUAGUAACGGCGAGUGAAGCGGGAUGAGCUCAAAUUUGUAAUCUGGUGGACUCAGUUCAUCCGAGUUGUAAUCUAUAGAAAAGUUUUCCGCGUCGGACCGUGUCUAAGUCCCUUGGAACAGGGUGUCAGAGAGGGUGAGAAUCCCGUGCUUGAUACGACCACCGAUGCUAUGUGAUACUUUUUCAACGAGUCGAGUUGUUUGGGAAUGCAGCUCAAAAUGGGUGGUAAAUUCCAUCUAAAGCUAAAUAUUGGCGAGAGACCGAUAGCGAACAAGUACCGUGAGGGAAAGAUGAAAAGCACUUUGGAAAGAGAGUUAAACAGUACGUGAAAUUGUUAAAAGGGAAACGAUUGAAGUCAGUCGUGCUCUCUGAGAUUCAGCCAGUUAUUCUGGUGUAUUUCUCAGUGAGCGGGUCAACAUCAGUUUAGAUCGCUGGAUAAGGUCAUUAGGAAUGUGGCUCCCUCGGGAGUGUUAUAGCCUAGUGUCGCAUACAGUGGUUUAGACUGAGGAACGCAGCUCGCCUUUAUGGCCGGGGUUCGCCCACGUCCGAGCUUAGGAUGUUGACAUAAUGGCUUUAAACGACCCGUCUUGAAACACG